rnacentral:rRNA from 1 species
UACGUAGGGUGCAAGCGUUGUCCGGAAUUAUUGGGCGUAAAGAGCUCGUAGGCGGUUCGUCGCGUCGGCUGUGAAAUCCCGAGGCUCAACCUCGGGUCUGCAGUCGAUACGGGCGGACUGGAGUUCGGCAGGGGAGACUGGAAUUCCUGGUGUAGCAGUGAAAUGCGUAGAUAUCAGGAGGAAUACCGAUGGCGAAGGCAGGUCUCUGGGCCAUAACUGACGCUGAGAAGCGAAAGCAUGGGGAGCGAACAGG